GAUGAACGCUGGCGGUAUGCUUAACACAUGCAAGUCGAACGGACUCUUCGGAGUUAGUGGCGGACGGGUGAGUAACGCGUGAGAAUCUGGCUUUGGGUUCGGGACAACCACUGGAAACGGUGGCUAAUACCGGAUGUGCCGAGAGGUAAAAGAGAAAUUGCCUGAAGAUGAGCUCGCGUCUGAUUAGCUAGUUGGUGAGGUAAAGGCUCACCAAGGCAGCGAUCAGUAGCUGGUCUGAGAGGAUGACCAGCCACACUGGGACUGAGACACGGCCCAGACUCCUACGGGAGGCAGCAGUGGGGAAUUUUCCGCAAUGGGCGAAAGCCUGACGGAGCAAUACCGCGUGAGGGAAGAAGGCUCUUGGGUUGUAAACCUCUUUUCUUAGGGAAGAACAAAAUGAUGGUACCUAAGGAAUCAGCAUCGGCUAACUCCGUG
rnacentral:rRNA from 1 species